UACAUGUGGGGCAAGCGUUGUUCGGAAUUACUGGGCAUAAAGGGUGCGUAGGUGGUUUGUUAAGUCAGGGGUGAAAUCCCGCGGCCCAACCGUGGAACUGCCUUUGAUACUGGCGAACUUGAGUGCGUGAGGGGUAGGGGGAACGAGCAGUGUAGCGGUGAAAUGCGUAGAUAUUCGGAAGAACACCAGUGGCGAAGGCGGCUCACUGGACCGGUAUUGACGCUGAGGUGCGAAAGCGUGGGGAGCAAACAGG
rnacentral:rRNA from 1 species